CACGUAGGGUGCGAGCGUUGUCCGGAAUUAUUGGGCGUAAAGAGCUCGUAGGCGGUCUGUCGCGUCGGCUGUGAAAUCCCGAGGCUCAACCUCGGGUCUGCAGUCGAUACGGGCAAACUGGAGUGUUGCAGGGGAGACUGGAAUUCCUGGUGUAGCGGUGAAAUGCGCAGAUAUCAGGAGGAACACCGGUGGCGAAGGCGGUUCUCUGGGCAUUACCUGACGCUGAGGAGCGAAAGUGUGGGGAGCGAACAGG
rnacentral:rRNA from 1 species